UUUUUUCUUUCAAAAUGUUAUUAAGUUUAUUGCUUGGAAAUUGUUAUAAUUUUCUAUUGGUUUAUUUAUUACAGAAAAAAAAGGGACUGAACUGAGAGUGGGAAAAUAAUGAUAAUACUUCUUUCUUGCAAAAGAAAAAGGUUUUGCCCAUAAUAAUUCACUGAGCAAGACAUACAGACUUCUAUCCAAUGCUAUGAAAAUUAACCAAGGCACAUUAACUCCAGGAAAUUUUCAAAGGACAGAGAGAGAAGCUGUAACAAAUAGUUCUGGAGACUUUGAAGCACAGCCACAGUACUGAGGUCUCUGACCGACAAGCCUUCUGCUUUCUCCUUCUCACAGGGCUCCUCCUACAGAUGUUCUGAACACGUCUGCAUCCCGGCAAUUUUUUACUCUGCCCAGGUACUGAAUGUAAGGAACCAAGCUGCACAAAAAGAAGCGUGGGGUGUAGAAGGAGCACUGUGAGGAAUUUACCAGAAGUCAUGUCUAUACAAAAUGUAGGCAUGACUUCAAGCAAAAAUUAUUUGAGAGAGCAUAGUUGCGGAAUGACCGAGUUUAUUCUUAGAAAAUGACAGAA
rnacentral:lncRNA from 1 species